AGCGAACGCUGGCGGCAGGCCUAACACAUGCAAGUCGAACGAAGUGGCGGACGGGUGAGUAACACGUGGGAACGUGCCUUUAGGUUCGGAAUAACUCAGGGAAACUUGUGCUAAUACCGAAUGCCUUUAGAGCGGCCCGCGUUUGAUUAGCUAGUUGGUGAGGUAAAGGCUCACCAAGGCGACGAUCAGUAGCUGGUAUGAGAGGAUGAUCAGCCACAUUGGGACUGGGACACGGCCCAAACUCCUACGGGAGGGAGCAGUGGGGGAUGUUGCGAAAUGGGAGAAAGCAUGACGCAGCCCUGCAGCGUGAAUGAUGUAGGUCUUAGGGUUGUAAAAGUCUUUAACCGGGGACGCGGUACCCGGAGAAGAAGCCCCGGCUAACUUCGUGCCAGCAGCCGCGGUAAUAC
rnacentral:rRNA from 1 species